AUUGAACGCUGGCGGCAUGCUCUACACAUGCAAGUCGAACGGUAACAGGCCGCAAGGUGCUGACGAGUGGCGAACGGGUGAGUAAUGCAUCGGAACGUGCCCAGUCGUGGGGGAUAACUACUCGAAAGAGUAGCUAAUACCGCAUACGAUCUAUGGAUGAAAGCGGGGGACCGUAAGGCCUCGCUCGAUUGGAGCGGCCGAUGUCAGAUUAGGUAGUUGGUGGGGUAAAGGCUCACCAAGCCAACGAUCUGUAGCUGGUCUGAGAGGACGACCAGCCACACUGGGACUGAGACACGGCCCAGACUCCUACGGGAGGCAGCAGUGGGGAAUUUUGGACAAUGGGCGCAAGCCUGAUCCAGCAAUGCCGCGUGCAGGAAGAAGGCCUUCGGGUUGUAAACUGCUUUUGUACGGAACGAAACGGCUCUGGUUAAUACCCGGGGCUAAUGACGGUACCGUAAGAAUAAGCACCGGCUAACUACGUG
rnacentral:rRNA from 1 species